UCCUUAAUUCUUUACAGUCUUCAGCCCUCCCAGAUGAUCCAUUCCAGAUGCAGUUCAACUGUGAGCCCUCCCAACCUCUGUGACUGCCAGAAAUACUUUUUGGAUCCUGGUUCCAAUUCAAAGCCCUGUCUGCUCUGGUACCUGUCUCCAGUCCCUCGUCUCCUCAGUCCUGCUUCGCUGCCCUGGAUCCCCGCUCUACUGCUUCAUUGGAUUCCACUCCAGACCUGCUUACCCGGUUCCUAAUCUCCUUGCCCUCAGCCUCAGUCUGGAUUCCCUACUACCAGCCCAAAAUUUCCCUGGACUGCACCACAUCUCCUCUCCCGCUUUUCAAUAAAUACAUUGGUUACCUAUCCUUGUCUCCUCAUCUGAGUCUGCAUUUGGGUUCAUCUGCUCCGCCCUGGGCAACAGUAUUUGGUUC
rnacentral:lncRNA from 1 species